rnacentral:rRNA from 1 species
UACGUAGGGGGCUAGCGUUGUCCGGAUUUAUUGGGCGUAAAGAGCGUGUAGGCGGCCAGGUAGGUCUGCUGUGAAAACUCGAGGCUCAACCUCGAGACGUCGGCGGAAACCAUCUGGCUAGAGUCCGGAAGAGGAGAGUGGAAUUCCUGGUGUAGCGGUGAAAUGCGCAGAUAUCAGGAAGAACACCAAUGGCGAAAGCAGCUCUCUGGGACGGUACUGACGCUGAGACGCGAAAGCGUGGGGAGCAAACAGG